CCUGUGGAGUGUCAUGCCAAAUGCGAGUAGCUCAGGCAAAAGCAGACACGUAGAAGCAGGAA
rnacentral:sRNA from 21 species